rnacentral:rRNA from 1 species
UGGGGAAUAUUGGACAAUGGGCGCAAGCCUGAUCCAGCCAUGCCGCGUGAGUGAUGAAGGCCCUAGGGUUGUAAAGCUCUUUCACCGGUGAAGAUAAUGACGGUAACCGGAGAAGAAGCCCCGGCUAACUUCGUGCCAGCAGCCGCGGUAAUACGAAGGGGGCUAGCGUUGUUCGGAUUUACUGGGCGUAAAGCGCACGUAGGCGGACUAUUAAGUCAGGGGUGAAAUCCCGGGGCUCAACCCCGGAACUGCCUUUGAUACUGGUAGUCUUGAGUUCGAGAGAGGUGAGUGGAAUUCCGAGUGUAGAGGUGAAAAUCGUAGAUAUUCGGAGGAACACCAGUGGCGAAGGCGGCUCACUGGCUCGAUACUGACGCUGAGGUGCGAAAGCGUGGGGAGCAAACAGG